AUUGAACGCUGGCGGCAGGCCUAACACAUGCAAGUCGAGCGAGCGGCGGACGGGUGAGUAAUGUCUGGGAAACUGCCUGAUGGAGGGGGAUAACUACUGGAAACGGUAGCUAAUACCGCAUACCAUCAGAUGUGCCCAGAUGGGAUUAGCUAGUAGGUGGGGUAACGGCUCACCUGUGCGACGAUCCCUAGCUGGUCUGCGAGGAUGACCAGCCACACUGGAACUGAGACCCGGUCCAGACUCCUACGUGAGGCAGCAGUGGGUAAGAUUGCACAAUGGGCGCAAGCCUGAUGCAGCCAUGCCGCGUGUGUGAAGAAGGCUUGCGGGUUUUAAAGCACUUUCAGCGGGGAGGCGUUACCCGCAGAAGAAGCACCGGCUAACUCCGUGCCAGCAGCCGCGGUAAUAC
rnacentral:rRNA from 1 species